rnacentral:tRNA from 1 species
UCCCUGGUGGUCUAGUGGGUUAAGGAUCCAGCGUUGUCACUGCUGUGGUUCAGGUCAUGGUUGUGGCACGGGUUCGAUCCCUGACCUGGGAA